ACAGAAAAUAACUUCAUUCUGCAAUUGAAAGAAUCACAGCAAGCUCUCAUUGUAUCAAGGCAAACUGGCGGUCAUACUCUUCUCUAAAUGAGCCAACACUCCCUAGGAGACCUCAGUAGAACUCCCUCUUCUCUGCUGGAAAGGUUUUGCCUCCCCAGGACCCAUCCCUCACCAUCCAUGCAUGACAUUCUGGCCUCAAGUAUCCACUCCUCAAAGGAAAAGAAAUUGGAGAGAUUCGCCUUGAAAAUAAGCCUUCAUAUUAGUGACUUCCUUCUUUUAAAGGACAUCGAACAAGUUUUAGAUGGGAUCUCUCUAUGUUGUCCAGGCUGGUCUCAAAUUCUUGGGCUCAAGAGAUCCUCGUGCCUCAGCCUCCCAAAGUGCUGAGAUGGUUAUACCAGGUGAGAUGUGAGUCACCAAACCCAGCCACCAAUGACUUUUAAAUUGUAGACUUCAAAAUAAUUGUUCAUCAACUUUGGUCAUUUAUAACAAGUACACACUUAUUUCUUGAAAUUCUCUCCACUGUUCACAACAGCAAAGACUUGGAACCAACCCAAAUACCCAUCAAUGAUAGACUGGAUAAAGAA
rnacentral:lncRNA from 1 species